rnacentral:lncRNA from 1 species
UUUCCGCCCCCCUCCUCCCGCUGGCAGGCCGCAAGCAGUAGGUAGCCCCUCAGCCAUUCCCAGCCAGUUGCCACUAGGAGAGGCGGUGCUGGCUGGGUCACAGUCCAGGGGCUGCCCGAGGGAGGGGCUAGGCCGCCCGCUACCUGCAGCUGGACGCCGCACGCCUUGUCCGCUGCAACGCUCAUGGGGAGCCCCGAAACUACCUCAACACCCUGUCCACGGCUCUGAACAUCCUGGAGAAAUACGGCCGCAACCUUCUCAGCCCUCAGCGGCCUCGGUACUGGCGUGGUGUCAAGUUUAAUAACCCUGUCUUUCGCAGCACGGUGGAUGCUGUGCAGGGGGGCCGAGAUGUGCUGCGAUUAUAUGGCUACACAGAGGAGCAACCAGAUGGGUUGAGCUUCCCCGAAGGGCAGGAGGAGCCAGAUGAGCACCAGGUUGCUACAGUCACACUGGAAGUACUGCUGCUUCGGACAGAGCUCAGCCUGCUAUUGCAGAAUACUCAUCCAAGACAGCAGGCACUGGAGCAGCUGUUGGAAGACAAGGUUGAAGAUGAUAUGCUGCAGCUUUCAGAAUUUGACCCCCUAUUGAGAGAGAUUGCUCCUGGCCCCCUCACCACACCCUCUGUCCCAGGCUCCACUCCUGGUCCCUGCUUCCUCUGUGGUUCUGCCCCAGGCACACUGCACUGCCCAUCCUGUAAACAGGCCCUGUGUCCAGCCUGUGACCACCUGUUCCAUGGACACCCAUCCCGUGCUCAUCACCUCCGCCAGACCCUGCCUGGGGUCCUGCAGGGUACCCACCUGAGCCCCAGGUGAGAGGGCUUCUCUUCUGGGUGGGAGUGAAAUUUAGAGAACUUAAGAUCACUUGAUUAUGGACUACCUGCCAGUUUCUGUGCUAAAGACUGUUUAAUAGAGGACAAGUAGCCAGUCAGAACCCUGAAAGAGAUAAUAGACAUACACAUCAAGCAGGUAGCAAUUGCAGUAACCCAGGUUGUUAUGGUAAUAGGUGGUUUGCAACCUAGUCUGAAGGGUCAGCUGAAUCAGGUGGCAAUAUUUUAAACACCUAGUGUAGGUCAGGCCAUGUGUUAGCAGUAUCUACUAGGAAGAAGUGAGCUUUAAGCUGUCAUUUAAAUGUUGCAUAAGCUAUGGGUAUAGGAGUAUUCGAGACAGACAAUGUGUGCAAAGGCCAGUGACAUGAGUUGUUACCCAGGAAAUGGAGAAUGCUUAGAGGUGAGGGAUCCAGGCACCAGGUGCCACUUCAGCAGGCCAUGUCUGCUUUUCCAUUACAGUUUACCUGCCUCAGCCCAACCACGGCCCCAGUCGACCUCCCUGCUGGCCCUGGGAGACAGCUCUCUUUCUUCCCCUAAUCCUGCAAGUGCUCAUUUGCCCUGGCACUGUGCUGCCUGUGCCAUGCUAAAUGAGCCUUGGGCAGUGCUCUGUGUGGCCUGUGAUCGGCCCCGAGGCUGUAAGGGGUUG